UACGGAGGAUGCGAGCGUUAUCCGGAUUUAUUGGGUUUAAAGGGUGCGUAGGCGGACGCAUAAGUCAGUGGUGAAACCCUGCAGCUUAACUGUAGACUUGCCGUUGAUACUGUGUGUCUUGAGUGUGGUCAAGGCAGGCGGAAUGUGUAAUGUAGCGGUGAAAUGCUUAGAUAUUACACAGAACACCGAUUGCGAAGGCAGCUUGCUGGGCCGCGACUGACGCUGAUGCACGAAAGCGUGGGGAU
rnacentral:rRNA from 1 species